rnacentral:lncRNA from 1 species
UCUUGUUUACAUGUAUGCUGUCAAGUGAUUUGCUUUGGUCCAUAUAAGUUUUCAAGGGCUAAUUAAAUUCCUUGCGUAUGGAAUAUGUGAUUCAAACUUUUAUUUCCUUUUCGAUGGCAGUAUUGACUCGUCUCUCACAAGCGAAGAAAGGGAACAAAAGAGGAAACAGGCCACUGACAGAGCAACCUUUGUGCAAGGCCUGGUGCUCUCAACUCUAUUUGGGGACUGACUGUUCAAACAGCCAUAGGUUCUUGCUAGAUGGGCGCUUACUCCUGCCUGGUCCCCAUAGUCUGGUAGUGCUCCACCAAGG